GUGGGGAAUCUUCGGCAAUGGGGGCAACCCUGACCGAGCAACGCCGCGUGAGUGAAGAAGGUUUUCGGAUCGUAAAGCUCUGUUGUAAGAGAAGAACGUGUGUGAGAGUGGAAAGUUCACACAGUGACGGUAACUUACCAGAAAGGGACGGCUAACUACGUGCCAGCAGCCGCGGUAAUACGUAGGUCCCGAGCGUUGUCCGGAUUUAUUGGGCGUAAAGCGAGCGCAGGCGGUUUGAUAAGUCUGAAGUAAAAGGCUGUGGCUUAACCAUAGUACGCUUUGGAAACUGUCAAACUUGAGUGCAGAAGGGGAGAGUGGAAUUCCAUGUGUAGCGGUGAAAUGCGUAGAUAUAUGGAGGAACACCGGUGGCGAAAGCGGCUCUCUGGUCUGUAACUGACGCUGAGGCUCGAAAGCGUGGGGAGCGAACAGG
rnacentral:rRNA from 1 species